ensembl:snRNA Gm22220 predicted gene, 22220
GACCUAACCUGGCAGGGAGAUACCAUGACCACCAAGGUGGUUUUCCCAGGGCGAGGCUUAUCCAUUGCACUCCGGAUGUGCUGACCCCUGCGAUUUCCCCAAAUGUGGGGAAACUUAGCUGGCAAAUUGAAUAAAGAGUUCUCACUUGU